UACCCGAAACCUCAUAGAUCCCGAAACCCUAGCAAACUCUCUUGUCCUUUUUCUUCUCUCCUCUCCUCUCGCCGAAGAGAAGAACGCGCUCGGGAGAGUGAGCUAUGGCGAAGGACAAGCGAAAGAGAUCCCAAUCUCUCGACCUCGACGAAGAACCAUCACGAGUGGAAUCGAACAAGGAGAAGAAGCCAAAGGUGAUCCCUUCGCUGAUAAAGAACAAGGACAAGAGGAGCCAGGUCCACGCCAAGCUCAAGAAGGAGAAGAAGAUCGAGAAGCGAAAGCAGGCCAAGGCCCGCGACGCCGCACACAAGAGAGCUCUCGAGCUCGGCGAGGAGCCACCGGUGAAGCAGACUCCGAGGACGAUUGAGAAUGCGAGGGAGCCUGAUGAGACUGUUUGUCAGCCAGAUGAUGAGGAGAUAUUUUCUCGGAUACGGAUACGGUUUAGCACCCCUACUCAAAGGGUAAAGCAACUAAGGAUGACAAGGGAAAGAAACCAUCUCAAGAGCGAGUAAUUGCUCGCCUUCAGGAAUGUGGUCCUCGUUUCACACUAAAAUUGAGAAGUUUGCAGCAUGGUACAUUUGAUACGAAGGGCGGAGAGUAUGAAUGGGUCCACAAGAACGAGAUGGAUACGAGUCGCAGGAGAUUUUUCUUAUAACCAACAGAUAAAACUCUUGACCUGCUGAGUAAGUUAAUUUUGCUGAGUAAAAGUUGAUGUACUCAUCAUGUAUUCUAGUGAUCCAACAUCUCAUCAGUUUUGUUCAUCUAAUUAUUAUUCUCUAAUGCGCAAAUGAGGUCACUUUCUUCUCAAAGAUAUAUGUGAGAUUUGUAGUUUCAUAUACCAACAGUUUAUUUAAAUGAUUAAAUCUAUGUUCUUUUGAAUUUAGUUAAUGCGGUAGGCAAACAAGGCAGUACAAGCUUAAUAAUUUAUGCCUCAAGUGAGUGCCAAAUGUUUGUUUUUUUCAGUAUGAUGUGUUUUUAUUUCAGUUGUUCCAUUUAAAGGGAGCCAUGUACAUGUGAUAUUACUCCGCAAGCUUUAAAUAUGCAGUUUGUAUGAUAUGUGCAACAUAUGUAAACCAAGUUUGUAUGCAGUUGUUUAUCGGGUCCAAUACUUUGUUACCCCCAAACAAGAGCGCAGGACGAUCACGCAUCUUUUAGCAAGCUGACUAGAAUUCAGUUUCUUUGUAUAAAGAGCCUGAAACUGACAGAAUUUUCAAACGAGGUUGAUUGAAUUGUACUCAUUUGCUGAUCAGUUUCUUUACAAAUUCUUCCAUUGGCAGUUUGUACACCUUUUCAUUUUAGGAUUAGAUAUAAUUAAUUACACAGGUGACCCUGGAGUUUGUGUGACCCUGGAGUUCGUGUGUCUGCACAGGUGACCCUGAUAUACCUUGUUGUGUGGGCUCUAGGUUUACCCGUGUAAUACAAUAACUGUGUUGAUACCCAUAUUUCAUAGUCACCUCGAGGGUACCAGAACGUAACUAAUCCUUAUUUUUAUAGAGUGAGAAAAUGUACACUUGAUACAUCAUCCUUGGUAAGAACAUGCACUGAGAAGAUAGAUUAUGAAGUAGUAAAUCAACUCCAUGAUAGUUUUUCUUUAGAGUGGUAAUGCUAUAAAGAAAUUUCUUUAUUUAGAAGAAAUAUCUUACGUUUUAAUGAGAUCAAUCCAAGUUAAUCAACAUAAUCGAAUCAAAUCUCUAAACUUUAUCUAAUUAUUUUAGCAGUUUAAUUUAAAAAUACGCAUCUGAUUAUAAUUUGACCUCUAGCUUAAUUUCGACUAUGUUCUGGGGAAAGCAGGAAAUGCAACAAAUGUUUUAUAAUCAAAUUUAAAUCUUUAUAAAACAGCACAUAAACUAACAUAGAUAGUUAUAAGGGUCAACUUUGGAAGUUUCUGUUAUAUUAUUUAUACUUUAUUUUACUUCUUAUCUUUGUGAAAUCCAUACUCUUUACUACUGUACUUACAUAAAUCUUCUGAAAUUCAAAUUUUAAGUGGACUCAGAAAAAUAUAUAUUAUCUAACUAUCAGGAUCAAUGAUGGACAUCUUUUACUAAUGCCAAUUUCUCAACCAGUGAUUAUCCCUUUAAAUUUUGAAACUCUUUUUUUUCUUUUUCUGCAAGAAGACAUCAAAGUUAUGAUCUUUAUUUAUUUAUUUAUUUUUAAAUUGAUGCAGUUGUGACAACUUUGUGAGUGUGCACAUGUUUUCUUUUUUCUUAUUUUAGUUAAUUCUCUCCCUUUUCCUCCCUUUUCCUCUCUUUUCCCCUUCUUCUUUUUGCAUAUUUAGAAGUUAGGAUUGUUGGCAAUCUUCCUAAUGACAGCCUUCAUACUAGGCAGUGGCAGGUGGAAUGGUGGAAAUUCAAAUAUUUGAGAUUUUCUAUUAAGUGACAAUAGAGUUGUUUGCAUUCUUACAAACUAAUCUGUCUAAUCUCCGUAUUUUUGUUGUUUGUCUACCAUCUUUGAACUCUUCAGGCGAGACUUCUUUAUGAAGUUAAUUUGUUUGACAUGAUUAAACAGUCCAGAAUUAUGAUCAGGACUUCUGACAUCAGUAAUUGGAAUGAAAAUUAUAUUGAAGGAUAAAGGUCUGUGAUAUUGGUUUAUAUAAAUGUUAGAUUGUCUCUUACAAGUCACUAGAUACCAGAAUGCUAUCAUAGCCUUAAAUCUUGAGGUGCUACUUCAAUUGUGCAUCAUAAUUAUUUGUUGUCAUGGAUGCUAUAGUUAAAUAUGCUUCUAAAAUCAGCAUCAGGCAAAUUUGACCCUAAAUUAGAUAACCAUCUAGGAGAAGAAUCAGGAUCAGCUGUGUGGAUUCUCUGAAGAACACUUUCAUGGUCUGUAUUCUCUGAAGAGGUUAUGUCUUCUCUGAUAGUCUUCUUUAUACACAUGAUUCUUCCGUCACAUUUGGUAUCCCUAUCAUCGUUGGCUUCUUAAGGAGAAAUUUUUUGACUCGUCUAUCAAUUGAGCAGAGAAGAGCUGGAUUGUCUAUAGUGAACCACGCAUAAGCAAAGAAGAGUUUUGGAUUCUGGGAGAAAAUUUUGGAUUCAGUCACUAUCAAGCAAUGUAAAGAGGAGUUUCUAUAUCCGAUGAGCUUUGGACCAAUGACUACAAUGUACCUCAUGGAAUCAGGGACAGCUUCAAGUACUGAGUUCCCACCAUCAAUCAGGAGGGGAACUAUCUGUUUCAACUAUUCUGUAUCUUGUUUCGCUUCAAGAUCUCACAAAUUGUCCUUUUCGUGUUGUUGACGAGAUAAAUCAAGGAAUGGACCCCAUAAAUGAGAGAAAAAUGUUCCAACAACUUGUCAGAGCAGUAAGUCAAGAAAACACACCACAGUGUUUCUUGUUGACACCGAAGUUACUACCUGAUCUCGAGUACAGUGAUGCUUGUAGCAUUUUGAACAUCAUGAAUGGCCCCUAUAUCGAGAAACCCUCCCAAGUCUGGAGUUGCGGCGAGAAUUGGGGGACAGUUGGUAGGAGAGGGUUUGAGCUGAACAGCUCUUGUAGAUCUUGUAUUUAAAAGGAAGAAUCCAGCAUAU